rnacentral:rRNA from 2 species
UAGGGAAUCUUCGGCAAUGGGCGAAAGCCUGACCGAGCAACGCCGCGUGAGCGAUGAAGGCCUUCGGGUCGUAAAGCUCUGUUGUUAGAGAAGAACAAGUACGAGAGUAACUGCUCGUACCUUGACGGUACCUAACCAGAAAGCCACGGCUAACUACGUGCCAGCAGCCGCGGUAAUACGUAGGUGGCAAGCGUUAUCCGGAAUUAUUGGGCGUAAAGCGCGCGCAGGCGGUCUCUUAAGUCUGAUGUGAAAGCCCACGGCUCAACCGUGGAGGGUCAUUGGAAACUGGGAGACUUGAGUGCAGGAGAGAAAAGUGGAAUUCCACGUGUAGCGGUGAAAUGCGUAGAGAUGUGGAGGAACACCAGUGGCGAAGGCGGCUUUUUGGCCUGUAACUGACGCUGAGGCGCGAAAGCGUGGGGAGCAAACAGG